UAAUCGGCCCUUUUCAGGGCCACUAUAUCAUUCAAACGUUAUGAA
rfam:Trichomalopsis sarcophagae strain Alberta scaffold6471, whole genome shotgun sequence.